AUCCCCAAAGCCCCAAAAUUUUCCCCACAAAAGUCAAAUGGUAAAGGUAAUUUAUUUUCUUUUCUAUUUUUCUUUCUUUCUUUUUCUUUCUUUUUCUAACUCUUUCCCUUCUCCUUUACGUGAAAGCCACCAACACCACGCCACCUUGCAGCCACCCGACGCCGACCACGUCCGGCUGCCCAGCCACCGUCGGCGACCCGCAGCCAGCCACCGCGGUGGAGACUUUAAGUUGAGUAAUUUCUAGCAUUGUGGCUAGUUGGAAAGAUGAUUUAAUUAAGGUACGUAUAAGAAUACGAGAAAACUUGAUUUUAGGAGCAUGUU